rnacentral:rRNA from 1 species
AGUGAACGCUGGCGGUAGGCCUAACACAUGCAAGUCGAACGGCAGCUCAGUAAGAGCUUGCUCUUACGGGUGGCGAGUGGCGGACGGGUGAGGAAUACAUCGGAAUCUACUUUUUCGUGGGGGAUAACGUAGGGAAACUUACGCUAAUACCGCAUACGACCUACGGGUGAAAGCAGGGGAUCUUCGGACCUUGCGCGAUUGAAUGAGCCGAUGUCGGAUUAGCUAGUUGGCGGGGUAAAGGCCCACCAAGGCGACGAUCCGUAGCUGGUCUGAGAGGAUGAUAAGCCACACUGGAACUGAGACACGGUCCAGACUCCUACGGGAGGCAGCAGUGGGGAAUAUUGGACAAUGGGCGCAAGCCUGAUCCAGCCAUACCGCGUGGGUGAAGAAGGCCUUCGGGUUGUAAAGCCCUUUUGUUGGGAAAGAAAAGCAGCAGGUUAAUACCCCGCUGUUCUGACGGUACCCAAAGAAUAAGCACCGGCUAACUUCGUG